CGGUAAUUCCAGCUCCAAUAGCGUAUACUAAAGUUGUUGCAAUUAAAAAGCUCGUAGUUGGAUUUCUGCGGGGACGGAGCGGCCGGACGCAACUUGCGUCUCGAGCUAGCGCUUUCCCCGCAUCCUGCCGCGAACCGUGCUACCAUUAGCUUGGUGGCGCUGGGGAUCGGCUCGAUUACUUUGAGAAAAAUAGAGUGUUCAAAGCAGGCCACACGCCUUGAAUAAGUUAGCAUGGAAUAAUGACUAAGGACUUUGGUUCUUUUCGUUGGUGUUCGGAACUGAAGUAAUGAUUGAUAAAAACAGUUGGGGCGGUCUGUAUUCCAAAGCGAGAGGUGAAAUUCUUAGACCUUCGAAAGACAAACAGCUGCGAAAGCGUUCCGCAAGGAUGUUCCCUUUGAUCAAGAACGAAAGUUGGGGGAUCGAAGACGAUCAGAUACCGUCGUAGUCUCAACUAUAAACUAUACCAGCUAGGGAUCGGCCAACGUUUAAUUAUUCGACUUGGUCGGCACCUUAUGAGAAAUCAAAGCAUCUGGGUUCCGGGGGGAGUAUGGUCGCAAGGCUGAAACUUAAAGGAAUUGACGGAAGGGCACCACCAGGCGUGGAGUCUGUGGCUUAAUUUGACUCAACACGGGAAAACUUACCAGGUCCAGACAUAGGAAGGAUUGACAGAUUGAUAGCUCUUUCUUGAUUCUGUGGGUGGUGGUGCAUGGCCGUUUUUAGUCGGUGAAGUGAUUUGUCUGCUUAAUUGCGUUAACGGACGAGACCCCAGCCUGCUAAAUAGCGCGGCCGAGCUUUGCUCGGUGCGAGCUUCUUAGAGGGACCAUGAUGCGCGAUAGCACAAGGAAGUUUGGGGCAACAACAGGUCUGUGAUGCCCUUAGAUGUUCUGGGCCGCACACGGGCUACACUGGCGCCUGCAACGAGCAUAUCAGCUGGCCCGAGAGGGUCUUGGCUAAUCUUUGGAACCGGCGCCGUGCUUGGGAUUGACCAUUGCAAUUGUUGGUCAUGCAACGAGGAAUGCCUUGUAAACACGAGUCAUCAGCUCGCAUUGAACACGUCCCUGCUCUUUGUACACACCGCCC
rnacentral:rRNA from 1 species